GGGCUUGACAUCCCACGAACCUUGCCGAAAGGCAGGAGUGCCCGCAAGGGAGCGCGGAGACAGGUGGUGCAUGGCUGUCGUCAGCUCGUGUCGUGAGAUGUUGGGUUAAGUCCCGCAACGAGCGCAACCCUCACCCCUUGUUGCCAUCAGGUCAUGCUGGGGACUCUAGGGGAACUGCCCCGGUCAACGGGGAGGAAGGCGGGGAUGACGUCAAGUCAUCAUGCCCCUUACGCCCUGGGCUACACACGUGCUACAAUGGCCGGUACAAAGGGAUGCGAGACCGCGAGGUGUAGCCAAACCCAAAAAGCCGGUCUAAGUUCAGAUUGGAGUCUGCAACUCGACUCCAUGAAGGAGGAAUCGCUAGUAAUCGCCCAUCAGCACGGGGCGGUGAAUACGUUCCCGGGCCUUGUACACACCGCCCGUCACACCACGAAAGUCAGUUGUACUCGAAGUCGCUGAG
rnacentral:rRNA from 1 species